rnacentral:rRNA from 1 species
UACGAAGGGGGCUAGCGUUGCUCGGAAUUACUGGGCGUAAAGGGAGCGUAGGCGGACUGUUUAGUCAGAGGUGAAAGCCCAGGGCUCAACCUUGGAAUUGCCUUUGAUACUGGCAGUCUUGAGUACGGAAGAGGUAUGUGGAACUCCGAGUGUAGAGGUGAAAUUCGUAGAUAUUCGGAAGAACACCCGUGGCGAAGGCGGCUCUCUAGUACGGUACUGACGCUGAGACGCGAAAGCGUGGGGAGCGAACAGG